rnacentral:tmRNA from 1 species
GGGCCCGACCUGGCUUCGACCGGCCAUGUCGUUCAUGCAGUGGCGCGUCGUGGAGCAUCCCGGCCACGUAAAAAGGAUGCAACACUUACGACUGCCAACACGCAGUACGCUCUUGCGGCCUAAUUAGUGCCGCACGGCAAACCCCUGACGUCCGAUGAGGGGGGCGCCGCAACACAUCGGGCUGGGUUCCUGGGGCUGGCAUGCUUCCGGGAGCCGACACUCGCAUGCCAUGGUCCACGCCAUGCGGCCACCCAGCAGCGGCGCGGACCGAGAUGGAAGAGGUGGAUACACGCGUAGAUGCUGCAUGGCCGCUGGUUCGGCACGGGGGUUCAACUCCCCCCGGGUCCAUUC